UACGUAGGUGGCAAGCGUUAUCCGGAAUUAUUGGGCGUAAAGCGCGCGCAGGUGGUUUCUUAAGUCUGAUGUGAAAGCCCACGGCUCAACCGUGGAGGGUCAUUGGAAACUGGGAGACUUGAGUGCAGAAGAGGAAAGUGGAAUUCCAUGUGUAGCGGUGAAAUGCGCAGAUAUCAGGAAGAACACCAAUGGCGAAGGCAGCUCUCUGGGACGGUACUGACACUGAGACGCGAAAGCGUGGGGAGCGAACAGG
rnacentral:rRNA from 1 species